AGUGAACGCUGGCGGUAGGCCUAACACAUGCAAGUCGAACGGCAGCACAGUAAGAGCUUGCUCUUACGGGUGGCGAGUGGCGGACGGGUGAGGAAUACAUCGGCAUCUACUUUUUCGUGGGGGAUAACGUAGGGAAACUUACGCUAAUACCGCAUACGACCUACGGGUGAAAGCAGGGGAUCUUCGCACCUUGCGCGAUUGAAUGAGCCGAUGUCGGAUUAGCUAGUUGGCGGGGUAAAGGCCCACCAAGGCGACGAUCCGUAGCUGGUCUGAGAGGAUGAUCAGCCACACUGGAACUGAGACACGGUCCAGACUCCUACGGGAGGCAGCAGUGGGGAAUAUUGGACAAUGGGCGCAAGCCUGAUCCAGCCAUACCGCGUGGGUGAAGAAGGCCUUCGGGUUGUAAAGCCCUUUUGUUGGGAAAGAAAAGAAGCAGGUGAAUACCCCGCUGUUCUGACGGUACCCAAAGAAUAAGCACCGGCUAACUUCGUG
rnacentral:rRNA from 1 species